AGAGUUUGAUUAUGGCUCAGGAUGAACGCUGGCGGCGUGCUUAACACAUGCAAGUCGAACGGGAACUCUGAACUGAAGGUUCGCUGGAUGUUUAGAAAUUCUAGUGGCGGACGGGUGAGUAACGCGUGGGUAACCUGCCUAUAAGACGUGAACAACAGUUAGAAAUGACUGCUAAUACACGAUAAGCACACAGUAUUGCAUGAUACAGUGUGAAAAGAAUUUCGCUUAUAGAUGGACCCGCGUUUGAUUAGCCAGUUGGUGGGGUAACGGCCUACCAAAGCAACGAUCAAUAGCCGGCCUGAGAGGGCGAUCGGCCACAUUGGGACUGAGACACGGCCCAAACUCCUACGGGAGGCAGCAGUGGGGAAUAUUGGACAAUGGGGGCAACCCUGAUCCAGCCAACGCCGCGUGAGUGAUGAAGUAUCUUGGUAUGUAAAGCUCUAUCAGUAGGUAUGAAACAAGACAGCCUAACUAAGAAGCCCCGGCUAACUACGUGCCAGCCGCUGC
rnacentral:rRNA from 1 species